GAUUGCUUUUUGGUGAGAACCAACUUAAUCGCAGUGGCUUGAACCGGGCAAAAGUCGUAACAAGGUGGCUGUAGGUGAACCUGCUGCCGGAUCAUUAU
rnacentral:rRNA from 1 species